AGUCAUGCAAAACACAAGCAGGAUGCCAGCUCAGCUCUGCCAGGCUGACAAAGCAGAAGUUAUGCAAAACAACAACAUUGUGCUUGCUCAAAAGUUGAGGUAGAGGAACAGCCACCUAGAAAGAACACCAGACUUUGAAGACAGACCCCAAAGAACCAAAGCUUUGUGCUGAGCAGUGCUUCAGUUGCCCAGGAGUUCCCAUAACUCUCCAGAAGGCUACUGCAGGAAAAACCAGCAGCAGACACAGACUCCUGCUUCCUGACAUCCUCAUAUAAGUGAGCAGUGGCUGAAAUGAGCUUUUUUUCCUCCCGGUUUGAGAUUAGGAAACCAGCUCACCAUGGACAGAGAGGAAAGAGACCUGUCCAAGGGAUUUCUCAUGGACACAGUCAGCAGCAUUAA
rnacentral:lncRNA from 1 species